AAGAUUCAUGCCUGUGUCGUCGUUGAUCUUGUGAUAAAUUGCACGCUGUUAAGUUUCUACAUUUGCAUAUGCAAGAGCAAGUCAUUGUUUUGACUUCUGGGGACAUGCACAUGAACCUAUGCAGGUCCAGCAUUACGUCGAACAGCUUGCUCGCGCGCGCGGUCGGCGCGGCCAGUCGAGCCUUACACCCCUACGGCCCUACCCCGUUACCC
rnacentral:lncRNA from 1 species